UUUCACCGCAAUUAAAAAAAUAAAAAAACUUUCCAGACAAUCCCUUACUGCAGGGAUCGGAAUCCCUUUUUGUCCUUAAGCAUUAAUCCUACUUUCUUCAUGUUGAGAGAGAAAGAAGUGUAUAGAAAACAUCCACAUUUAACCUAAGAUAUGACUAAUUGUACGUGUCUGGGCUGGGGAAACCGGGCAGCGUAUACGCUAGGAGUACAAUUAAGCUAGUUAUUUUAUGUGUAAUUUAUAAAUACUUUUCAAAAUCUGAUGUCAAUGACCGCAAGGUGACAGAUGAUCAAAUAUCAAACCAAAAGCUAGGAAUAUAUCAUACACAGGUUAGCUAGUUUUUUUUCUUAUAACAAAACAAAUAAAGUAAUACAGUACCUGUUAAAUAUAAAUGCCACGGCGUGAUUUUGAAAACAGAAAACAGAUAAAUCGCUGUUGCUAACGCUUUCGAUUAUUACCGAAUUGAACCCAAAGAUAUUACUAACACUAGCUUGAAUCACCGUUAAAAUUAGAAGUUUAUCGUUUUAUAGCGAACAGCUCACUCCUUCCAGUUUAGAUGCACAAGGUUCCACUGAAAUACCACAAAAUAUUACAUCAUGCACUUCGUGUGAUGUUAUAGCUAAUAAUUGCAUGAAUUUGUAUAACUUUUUCAACCUCGUGCGAGACAGAUGGAAGAAAGAUGAGACUGAGCAUGAAGAAUACAAGACAUGGUCUGGCCAUAAGACAUCGAUGGUUGAGAGUUCAUAUGAAGUUCAGCUUUGUGUGUUUUCCCUAACCCAGAUGGCAGCAUCCGUGGCCGAACAUCUCUAAAGCUUAAGAUCGAACUGCGACAGAAGUGGUAUACCUUCUUUAAUAAAGUGGGAUUUUUGCCAUUAUCAUCUCUGUGAUCAUCCACUGCGGACAUUGUCCUAUAUCACUGCUGUCGGAUGUAUGCGGCUGGUUUUGUCUGGCACCUCUGUUAAGCCAUGGGUGGACCUGAAAGAAGUUAAAAACUCCAGGCAUCACAGCUCUCUACUUCCCUGGUGGUGCUAUGUUACAUUUAGAAAAAAAAAUAGUUUUUGGAUUUUCAGUAUUUCUGAAUACAAGAAUAGAAGUUUUACCUGUCUGUCUAUUUAUUGCCAUGAACAAAGCAGCCAAACUUUUCUUUUUUUUUUAGUUUGGAGUGCAGAAGAUAUUGCCCAGAGGCUGGUUUACAGACUCAGAUGAACCUAAGGUCUUGAUGCUAGCAGGCUCUGACAGAGAUUCCUGCAAGGAUAUGCAGGUUCUCACCUAAUCAGCAGAGAGAAGCUACAUAAUUUACCAUAACCAGGCGGACAGCAGGAGCUGCACCUUAAGGUCGGAGCUGGACAGACAUGGUCACAUCCAGACCUUUUUCUGUGCUCCGCCAGAGCUGGGUUUUUCACCCUUUUCUCUCCUGUAAUACUGAGGUAAUACACUCCAGCGUGUCACACUUCUCAAGGCCUGGCAUGGCACCUGGGCCUCGAAGACCCGUGGAAGCCAUUACGUCAUCCGCACGUCCGAUCUGACCGAGCCGAACUCAUCCCUGCUCAGCUGAUCGUCACGUGCAGCUUUGCGAGUUCUGCAUUCUGCUGCACGCGACCAAGAACGCAGGCGGAGACAAGGGAGGAGCAAUGCGGAAGGAAACGCUGAUGCCAGGAAACCGCACGCCAGUCUAGUGGUCUCUCUCUGCCACUGACGUUCGGACGAACGCCUGAUCGAAUUGUGACAGGUCGACAGUCCGCUGUGGACGGUUACCCCAGAAACGAGAAGCGCGGAUGGGUGUAACAGCCUGGUCAUCUGUUUCUGUCCACAGCGACAGCUGCUCUUCUCCCUCAAAUACAGGUAAAUAAGUUUAAAUCCCUUGACUCUCAACCACAUGCAGAAAUUAACAAAGUUCUUUCGGUGAUGAUUAUGGAAAUAUUAUCACGAUGCCUAACAAAUUGUAUGCAUAUAUUUAGCAGGGGAUGAACCGAGGGCCGUACAACACUGUACAAAGCAAUGAAUUCUUUAUGAAGUUUAGCUAUUUUGGUGGGGCGGGGUCACGGCCCCUGAUUAAAGGCAGGUGUCACGCUUCAUCCCGUGUGAAUCUUGGGGUCUAACUGAGGCCAAACCGCGUAAAUCUGAUGAAUCACUGAGUCUUUAUUCGACUGUAACUGGGAUUUCUCUUCCAACCGACAGAAAGGGCGAAACAUAGUGUUAUUCUCGCAGAGGGGCAGGUGGUGCUGUGGGGGGUCAUGUGGAAGGAGCUUGAAGUUCAGGUGAGGGGUGCUGCACUAGCACCCCUCAAGGUCUUAUCAAGUAGCCCGUCGGAUUGAGGAUCAGAGCCCGUCGAACACAUCGGGGUGGAUUUAAAUACGUUUGCUGGGUAUGUGAUGCAGUAUGAAAAUAUGCAUUUCAAAGUGACAUUCUGAGUAAGGCAACCUGAGACGAGACA